CUUGUCGUGUGGCCUCAGUCCUUCGCCGUCCCUCGCCGUCCUUCGCCAUCGCACGCCACCGCACCCCAUCUCUCGAAAUCUGCAGACAUCUUGAUUUUUCCCACGCUGUCUGUCAGGUCUCCGCCGCCACUCGACGCCAGGGCGCCGGGUGAGUCCACAGCAGGGCGCAUGGUCGGCUCCACUCUCACCAUCGGGGGAAACUGAGGCCCCGGGGAAGGCGGCCAGAGAGGUCAGGCCCUGUCCUUGGUGCAGUGUCUCGUCCUCUUUGCCGGAGUGAGCCCCCCAGGAUUCGCGUGUCCUCGGGAAAGACACUGGCAGGCCUUGUGGGCUGUGCUGCACCUCGGACGGCUUCGCACCAGCCAGCGCCCUCUCUCUCCUGCAGCACUCUGAUCUGCACCCCCUGAGGGGCUUCCACUGUCCGCGGGGUGAGAAUGCCCCUGGGAGUGUCACAUGACUGCCGCCCCAUGUGUGUGAGAGGCGUCCUCUGGGAGAGCAUGGAUCCUGAGGUCCCAGGAUUGUCAGCUGACCUCUGUCCUGUGUGCCCAGUGGCCCCAGGUGACGUGUCUUCAAGAAGAGGCUGAGCUGCGGUGCUUGUAAGGGUCUCAUUCUGUCACCCAGGCUGGAGUGCAGUGGUGCAAUGAUGGCUCACUGCAGCCUCGACCUGGGCUCAAGUGAUCCUCCACCUCAGCUUCCUGAGUAGCUGGGACCACAGAGUCAUGUGCUGUUCCUGGGGCUUGGAUGAUGUAGGGGAAGCAAGGUGAAAGUGGUAUCCCGUGGUUCCACGUUCUGUCCUGCUGUGGGGCUGUCCCUCACAUGCUUUCAGUGGCUGUUGCAGAGGAAGAGCCUCCGGAAAUCUGCGUGGGUAAAGUGAGCUCCCCGGGGGAACCGUCCUCCUCCCUUGAGCGCUGGUGUGUCCAUAGUGUGCUGUGAUCUGGAUUAGCAGUGAGUUUUUCUUUCAGGGUGUGUGUGUAUGAUGUUAGGACCAUAUGCUCCUGACCUUUUCCAACCCAAAAGCGUUUCCAUUUUUUUAAUGCUGGAAGUGUCUUAACUCCUUUUGGGGUCUUAGAAGGACACACGGUGGCCGUGGCUGGGCCUCUGCUCAGCUGGGCUGCUCUCCCUGCCUCAGGCCCUUGACACCAGCCUCCCUCCCUUGCUGGCUCUCUUUCUGUCCUUCCCUGCUCUUGUAUCCAAAAGUGAUCAUGGGUUGCCUGUGUCCCGAUCAUUAACAGUGCAGGGGUAGGAGUGCUGAAAGACAUCUUCCCUGCGUUGGUCCAGCCUUCCCUUUCAAACCCUGGAGCUUUCCCACGCUGCAGCCUUUUUCCAACUAGGCUUUCAGAGCUUGGGCCUUUGUGGGCCCAUGUGAUGUGGUGACUAGACCCACCCCCUGACUUCUGAGGGUUCAUUUUGUCUUUUCAUGUUAGGGAUCCUCCUGCCAGAAACCAGUCUGCAUUUCUCUCUGGGCCCCACGCUGGAAUGAAUUCAGAUAGCAGUGAAGGGCACACGUGAGAACUGCGAAUCACGGGCUUUGCUUCAUGAAAUGUGAAAUCCACAUUGUUUCCACAGGCACCAUCAGUAAUGUCGAACAAAUGGAGAAAGUUGCAGGUGGGGCUAGGAAAGCUGUAUUCCUGUGGAUUACUCUAGCUGGUCAUUUGCCCCGAUUGUGAACUGCUUGAAAGAAAAACGAAACUUCUAAGAUGUUUGUCCUUUCAUGUCCUUUCUGUUGGGAUUUUUUAUUUGGUGUGCGUGAAUGAGGAGCUUCGCCCUGCUUGAAUGGGACCCCUCUCAGUGGUGUCAGCUUGGGGAGGAGGAGAUGGCCCUGGAGACUAAAUACUUGUAUGCUUUCUUACCCUCUUAGGUCUCAGCCUUAGAUCCAAGGACAGUCCAAGGAAGUCCUAAGACCAUGGAGUUGGUGAUCUGGGAUCUGGGUUUGCUGAUAUUUCUCACCGUGAAUCUCUUGGUGGUGUUUGUGGGCACGAGAGGGGCAGAGAAUGGAGAGUGAGGCUACCACAUGAAGCGUCACCAGAGCUGCUCCCUGCUGCCUGCUCAGAGCACCCCGGAUCCACUGUUCAAUCUGCACAAGAUUCGGGGUCCAGACAUGGGAGACUUCAGCUGCCUCAGAGGACCGUGGACAGGGAAGGCCAGCCUCGCAUCCCUCUGUCCAUGCCUGGAAUGACUUUAAUAACCAAGAGUUUUAUUUUUGAAUUUGUAGCUGUCGUUCACUUUUUACCCACCCAUUCAAUAAACCUUACAGAAUUGCUCCA
ensembl:lncRNA SNHG17 small nucleolar RNA host gene 17